rnacentral:piRNA from 1 species
UGAGGCUCAUGUGUCCUGAUCCUUGGUCGU